UACGAAGGGGGCUAGCGUUGUUCGGAAUUACUGGGCGUAAAGGGCGCGUAGGCGGCGUGUCAAGUCAGAUGUGAAAUUCCCGGGCUUAACCUGGGGGCUGCAUUUGAUACGUGUUGUCUAGAGUGAGGAAGAGGGUUGUGGAAUUCCCAGUGUAGAGGUGAAAUUCGUAGAUAUUGGGAAGAACACCGGUGGCGAAGGCGGCAACCUGGUCCUUGACUGACGCUGAGGCGCGAAAGCGUGGGGAGCAAACAGG
rnacentral:rRNA from 1 species